rnacentral:rRNA from 1 species
GUCCUAGCCGUAAACGUUGGGUACUAGGCGGAGGGGCUCCGAUGCCUUCUCUGCUGGAGCUAAUGUCUUAAGUACCCCGCCUGGGGAGUAUGGCCGCAAGGCUAAAACUCAAAGGAAUUGACGGGGGCUCACACAAGCGGUGGAGCAUGUGGUUCAAUUCGAAGCAACGCGAAGAACCUUACCAGGCCUUGACAUGCUGGUAGUAGGACCGUGAAAGCGGAACGACCUGCCUUCGGGUAGGAGCCAGCACAGGUGUUGCAUGGCUGUCGU